CCUACGGGGGGCUGCAGUGGGGAAUAUUGGACAAUGGGCGAAAGCCUGAUCCAGCCAUGCCGCGUGUGUGAAGAAGGCCUUCGGGUUGUAAAGCACUUUCAGUGGGGAAGAAAGCCUUGGGGCUAAUACCCUCGAGGAAGGACAUCAGCCACAGAAGAAGCACCGGCUAACUCCGUGCCAGCAGCCGCGGUAAUACGGAGGGUGCGAGCGUUAAUCGGAAUUACUGGGCGUAAAGCGCGCGUAGGCGGUCUGAUAAGCCGGUUGUGAAAGCCCCGGGCUCAACCUGGGAACGGCAUCCGGAACUGUCAGGCUAGAGUGCAGGAGAGGAAGGUAGAAUUCCCGGUGUAGCGGUGAAAUGCGUAGAGAUCGGGAGGAAUACCAGUGGCGAAGGCGGCCUUCUGGACUGACACUGACGCUGAGGUGCGAAAGCGUGGGUAGCAAACAGGAUUAGAUACCCCAGUAGUC
rnacentral:rRNA from 1 species